rnacentral:lncRNA from 1 species
UGUGAUUGUUGUGCAAGUGACAGAAACAUGACAAGAAGAUGGUCACUUUACAUGGAUGUUUUGCCACCUGUGGUGAUUAUAGGCAAUGAAUGUUCUGACAUGGCUUUACUCACUUUGUUCAAAGCUGUAACACUUCAAGGGAUGAACAACCAUGUCUUUAUUGCUUAUGCUUAUGCUGUUGGUGAAGGUGAGAAAAACACAAGAAGGGGGGGGGUUGAAUUGUGUUUUCUUUUUCUGUCUAAAAAAAUUCUUCUUCUGAUAAAUCUUCAGAAGCAGACUGAGAGUGCUUCUGAUGAAAUGAUCAGAAUCAGAUAUGCAGCGGAAAGAACAGAGCAGAGAAAAGAAAGACAAAGACACAAGCAGUUAUCCUGGUUCCUUCCACAACACGGAAGUAGUCCAGUCCCCCUUGCACUUCCAAGGAGAUUUCACUAUAAUCACAANNNNNNNNNNNNNNNNNNNNNNNNNNNNNNNNNNNNNNNNNNNNNNNNNNNNNNNNNNNNNNNNNNNNNNNNNNNNNNNNNNNNNNNNNNNNNNNNNNNNNNNNNNNNNNNNNNNNNNNNNNNNNNNNNNNNNNNNNNNNNNNNNNNNNNNNNNNNNNNNNNNNNNNNNNNNNNNNNNNNNNNNNNNNNNNNNNNNNNNNNNNNNNNNNNNNNNNNNNNNNNNNNNNNNNNNNNNNNNNNNNNNNNNNNNNNNNNNNNNNNNNNNNNNNNNNNNNNNNNNNNNNNNNNNNNNNNNNNNNNNNNNNNNNNNNNNNNNNNNNNNNNNNNNNNNNNNNNNNNNNNNNNNNNNNNNNNNNNNNNNNNNNNNNNNNNNNNNNNNNNNNNNNNNNNNNNNNNNNNNNNNNNNNNNNNNNNNNNNNNNNNNNNNNNNNNNNNNNNNNNNNNNNNUUAGUUUAUAGUCCACUUAUUUGUUUUCUUGUUAUCAUUGCAAUUAAGGAUGGAAAAGUUAGCUGCAAAGAGUAGAAGUAGCAAUGCAAAGGUAGUAGGAAGCAUAAUAUCAAUAGCAGGUGCUUUUGUGAUGACUUUCUACAAAGGACCGUCGAUCAUGAAUUCUUCAUCACUUCAUCAACCAGCUGGCUUUCUCAAGUCAGUGGAUUCAAGUUGGGCCAUUGCUGGCAUUCUCCUAAUAUUUGACUAUUUUCUGUCUUCACUAUGGUACAUUUUACUGGUAGGUAGGGUAGGGUUAGUAUUAUGCAAAAUGAGAGAUAUUAUACAUUAAAAAUUAAAGUCCAUAAAGUAUAUGAAUAUUGACACAGUCACGAACACCAUAUAUAACACUGACACUAGGACAUAGACAUCAAUAAUAAUUUGAUGAAAUGGAAAAGAUUGGAUGUAACAUGCAUGUCUAUGUCUGACACCAGCACGUGCCAAACACUAAUGCCUGUUGAACACUGAACACGCCUUCAAUGUGAAGUAUCGGUGCUGCAUAGUAUUUACUAGAAUGUGUCACAAUUGGCUUCCUUACAAUGAAAUAUUUUUUCAUUUCUUGUUAUUUAAUGAGAUCAUCAAAAUUUUAGUACUGAAAAGUUUCAGUUCCUUUAUUCAUUUCACAGGUACAUAUCUUGAAAGAGUUCCCAGAUGAACUAACUAUAAUAUUGUUUUACUCCACAACUGCCACCAUCAUAUCUAUAGUUGUAGCUUUGUUAUCAGUUCCAAAAGCAAGUGCUUGGAAAAUAGGAUUGAAUCUCUCACUCGUCUCCGUUGUUUGUUCUGUAAGAUAGUCAGCAAAACUAUAUAUUUUGACAUCAAAAUUGAUAUCAAAAUUUAACGUCAACUUAGAUGGUUAACACGAUUCAAAUAUCUGUGUUCAAAUAUAAAUGAUAUUCAUUAAUCAUAAUUUGAGUUCCAAUAUACACUUGAAAAUCAUGGUUAACGAUAUUCAAAUUUGUGGUUAAUUGCAUCGAGUGGACGAUGAAUGAGUUGUGACACUUGACAAAUCAGUCACUGGACGUAAUUAAACACUUAUUUGAAUUGUGUGUCAUCUUGGUGGUUGUUGACUUUUGAUAUCAAUUUUGUGUUGAAAUAUCAUUUCUAAACAGUUUGCACCUCGUAAUCGUAAUUUAUUGAUGACAAAUUUCUCACCCCAGGCAAUUUUCGGAAAGUUGAUAGGCAAUACAGUUUGUGCCUGGUCUGUUCGGUUAAAGGGGGCAGUCUAUGUAACCUCAUUCAAGCCACUUCAAAUUGUUAUUUCUGCUGGCUUGGGUGUUAUAUUCCUUGGUGAUACUCUUCAUGUUGGAAGGUAUGGUUAUUUGAAUUUUUUGCUUUUGAUUCUUUGCUUGAAAUGAAACAUUAGGAAGCAAAUAUACAAAGAUCCCACCAUGUAGGUUCAUUAUUGUUCGGUUUAGGAAGGAAAAUCUAACUGUUACAACAGUUCGAUAAUGAUUCGUUUCAAACCAAAUUGAUAUAAAGGUUUAGUGCACUGAUCAUGUGGUUUUCAACCGAGCUGAAAAUACCUUUACAAAAAACCAAACUGAUUUUUUGUGGACCGACAUGUACGAAAUUGCUAUCAUCAAUUAAUAAUAAGGGCUUUUGAAAGCAAAAACAAAUAAAAAACUAAAAACCGAACUGAAUUGUGUUAAACCAAACUGAAUCACAACGAUGAUAACCGAACUUCAAUUCAGUUGGUGAACUAUUAGUCACAUUUUGGCUUUUCAAUGUCGUUUUAAUCCGUUUAAAGUUUUAGUUCGAUUUUUAGUUUUCUUUCACAACCACACCACCACGUGGAGCCUGCGGAAGAUAUAUGUGGAAAAUUAAGAGUUAGCUAAUUACCUAUUAUACGGCAUGUUAUCGCGUUUAGAUCGUGUUUGAAUAAACAACUUAGCUAAACAUUUAUAGCAUAAAUGCUUAUCGUAUGAGUGAUUAUGUAUAAGCUAUUAACUAAAUAUAAAAUAAAGUCAAAUUAUUUUUAUAUAAGCUAUAGAUUGUUUUAUAAUCUUCCCGGAGAGAUUAUGAAAUUAAAUUGUUUCCAUAAACUCGUCGAAGCUAGGUCUCCAAACCAUAUGUUGCUUUUCAUCCUCAACCAACCAGCACAAUUUAUGAUUUUUCAACUUAUUUGAGUUUAGUUCUUUUGCUCAUUUCUGAUUUCAAUGAUUGUUAAAGUGUUCAUUUGUGUAUAUUUUUAAUGCAUUUUGCAGUAUAAUUGGAGCCACAAUAAUAUCAAUUGGUCUUUAUGCUGUAUUAUGGGGCAAAGCUACAGAAGAGAUAGAGGAAGAUGUUGGUAGUUUGGAGUCACCAUCUAAUGAGAAUGCACCUCUUUUGCAAAGCUCUAGAACUCAAACUUUUGAAAAUAAAACAAAUGGAAAUGUUUAAAAUAUCAUUAUCAAAUUGAGAUUCAAAUACAAUCCGAACUUNUUUUGCUUCUGAUGACUUUCUGCUUCUGAUGACUUUCUGCUUCUGAUGACGUCAUCUCUUCAGGAGCAGUUUUCUUCAGAUGCUCAGAAUUUCUUUUUCUUUCCAUUGUUCUUCCAAGACCUAUUGAAAUAACUUGAGUAGCCUUUGGUCCUGUACACUUGAACAAUUAUUAGUAAUAACCAAUUGACAAAUUUUAAUAACAUGUUAUCAUCAAAACUCAAUAAGGUUCAUUGUGAAACACAUUUUGUUCCAACAGUUGGUACUUCUGUUCUUCUUCCUGUCACUCUUUUCAAUAGAAGUAGAAGGUUCACAUUUAUUUAUUGCAAUAUUCAUCAACAUACAACAUAUGUAUAUAACUUGGUGUCUGUUUGGAUUGACGGUGAGUUUGACAAAAUCACGCAUGUUGCGAAGAUUUUGGCAACACGGUGCUUCCACGAUUUUGUCAAAUUCACCGUGUCUUCGCUUGAUUUCAACAAAAGCUACACUUUAUGCUUCCGUUUAUUAAUUUCCUUAUGUUUUUCUUUUUGCAGAUCAAGAGUUGUUCCUCCUCUCAGUUUCUCUAUAAUAUGUAAAAGUGUGCUUCUUGGUGCAAUAGGGUAAUGGCAAAAAUGGCCUUGUACUUUAUUACAAUAUUUGAUUUGACUGUCAGGGCCUUUUAGGAGUUAACUAUCAGAUUAGUCUUUUGUAGGAUACUCUCAAAUAGGUCCUUGAGAUUACGAGUAUUUCGAAAAAGUCCAUGACUCUAUUAAACUAUUAAGUUGGUCCCUACACUCAACCACUUAAUAUCGAUUAAGUCCUUAUAUUUUAACAACUUACUGUCAAUUUGAUCCUUAAGUUUAUCCGCUUACUAACUAUGUAGUCCUUAGCAUAUUCUUUGAAGGACUAAUGUGAGUAAAUUUGACAGAGUCAGAGACUUUUUUGAAAUAUUCAUAAAGUCAGGGACGUAUUUGAGAGCGACCUACAAAAUCAAAGACUAAUUUGAUGGUUUACUCGGUCUUUUAGUGUGUCUCAUGUUUUGGAAUUUUUUGGUACUGUUAUGCAGGUGUUCAUCUCAGAUUCUUGGGUAUAUGAGUAUUAACUACAGUUCUCCAACACUUGCUUCAGCAAUUGCUAAUCUGGUACCUGCUUUCACUUUCAUGCUAGCUGUUACUUUCAGGUUUGCUAACUAGUAUAUUUGAAUUUGGCAGAUUCUUACUCUUUUAAACUGCAGUUACUUCUUAAAAAAAAACUGUUAUUAAAUUUUGUUACUCAAGGUUAGUCUGAUGGUAUUGACUUGGGACAUUGGAUUAUGCUCCUCCUCAAGGUCUCAAGUUCGAUUCUUUUCAGUGCUAAUUUGGAUUAGCUAAUUUAACUUCUUAAAAAAAAUGUUACUAAAGGAAAUUUUUCGUUACUUUUCUUGCACUCAAAGAAAUGUCUUAGAAACAAUAAUACACUCUGAUACUUGUUAGUAGUGUGCGAAAAGAGAGCAUGACUUAUUUACAAACUCCACCAGUCACACUCACACCCUUCAACAUGUCAUUGACUGCGUCAAAUUGUCGAUCGUGGGAAAUAGUAGUUUAUUCGAAUUCUGUUACGCAACAGAGUUACAGUGCCGCUAUCGCUGCUAUUUGAUAACAAUUUGUACUAAAUAUUUUGUUGCAGAACAAUAGUGAUUUGUUCAAAUUCCACUGCACUAUAGUGCUGUAGUGCUAUAGCCGCUAUUUAACAACUUCGGCCAAGAAAAUUGUUUAAAACUACAUUUUUCGCAGUGCUUUAUAUUUAUGAAACACCUUAGUUUAUAGUCCACUUAUUUGUUUUCUUGUUAUCAUUGCAAUUAAGGAUGGAAAAGUUAGCUGCAAAGAGUAGAAGUAGCAAUGCAAAGGUAGUAGGAAGCAUAAUAUCAAUAGCAGGUGCUUUUGUGAUGACUUUCUACAAAGGACCGUCGAUCAUGAAUUCUUCAUCACUUCAUCAACCAGCUGGCUUUCUCAAGUCAGUGGAUUCAAGUUGGGCCAUUGCUGGCAUUCUCCUAAUAUUUGACUAUUUUCUGUCUUCACUAUGGUACAUUUUACUGGUAGGUAGGGUAGGGUUAGUAUUAUGCAAAAUGAGAGAUAUUAUACAUUAAAAAUUAAAGUCCAUAAAGUAUAUGAAUAUUGACACAGUCACGAACACCAUAUAUAACACUGACACUAGGACAUAGACAUCAAUAAUAAUUUGAUGAAAUGGAAAAGAUUGGAUGUAACAUGCAUGUCUAUGUCUGACACCAGCACGUGCCAAACACUAAUGCCUGUUGAACACUGAACACGCCUUCAAUGUGAAGUAUCGGUGCUGCAUAGUAUUUACUAGAAUGUGUCACAAUUGGCUUCCUUACAAUGAAAUAUUUUUUCAUUUCUUGUUAUUUAAUGAGAUCAUCAAAAUUUUAGUACUGAAAAGUUUCAGUUCCUUUAUUCAUUUCACAGGUACAUAUCUUGAAAGAGUUCCCAGAUGAACUAACUAUAAUAUUGUUUUACUCCACAACUGCCACCAUCAUAUCUAUAGUUGUAGCUUUGUUAUCAGUUCCAAAAGCAAGUGCUUGGAAAAUAGGAUUGAAUCUCUCACUCGUCUCCGUUGUUUGUUCUGUAAGAUAGUCAGCAAAACUAUAUAUUUUGACAUCAAAAUUGAUAUCAAAAUUUAACGUCAACUUAGAUGGUUAACACGAUUCAAAUAUCUGUGUUCAAAUAUAAAUGAUAUUCAUUAAUCAUAAUUUGAGUUCCAAUAUACACUUGAAAAUCAUGGUUAACGAUAUUCAAAUUUGUGGUUAAUUGCAUCGAGUGGACGAUGAAUGAGUUGUGACACUUGACAAAUCAGUCACUGGACGUAAUUAAACACUUAUUUGAAUUGUGUGUCAUCUUGGUGGUUGUUGACUUUUGAUAUCAAUUUUGUGUUGAAAUAUCAUUUCUAAACAGUUUGCACCUCGUAAUCGUAAUUUAUUGAUGACAAAUUUCUCACCCCAGGCAAUUUUCGGAAAGUUGAUAGGCAAUACAGUUUGUGCCUGGUCUGUUCGGUUAAAGGGGGCAGUCUAUGUAACCUCAUUCAAGCCACUUCAAAUUGUUAUUUCUGCUGGCUUGGGUGUUAUAUUCCUUGGUGAUACUCUUCAUGUUGGAAGGUAUGGUUAUUUGAAUUUUUUGCUUUUGAUUCUUUGCUUGAAAUGAAACAUUAGGAAGCAAAUAUACAAAGAUCCCACCAUGUAGGUUCAUUAUUGUUCGGUUUAGGAAGGAAAAUCUAACUGUUACAACAGUUCGAUAAUGAUUCGUUUCAAACCAAAUUGAUAUAAAGGUUUAGUGCACUGAUCAUGUGGUUUUCAACCGAGCUGAAAAUACCUUUACAAAAAACCAAACUGAUUUUUUGUGGACCGACAUGUACGAAAUUGCUAUCAUCAAUUAAUAAUAAGGGCUUUUGAAAGCAAAAACAAAUAAAAAACUAAAAACCGAACUGAAUUGUGUUAAACCAAACUGAAUCACAACGAUGAUAACCGAACUUCAAUUCAGUUGGUGAACUAUUAGUCACAUUUUGGCUUUUCAAUGUCGUUUUAAUCCGUUUAAAGUUUUAGUUCGAUUUUUAGUUUUCUUUCACAACCACACCACCACGUGGAGCCUGCGGAAGAUAUAUGUGGAAAAUUAAGAGUUAGCUAAUUACCUAUUAUACGGCAUGUUAUCGCGUUUAGAUCGUGUUUGAAUAAACAACUUAGCUAAACAUUUAUAGCAUAAAUGCUUAUCGUAUGAGUGAUUAUGUAUAAGCUAUUAACUAAAUAUAAAAUAAAGUCAAAUUAUUUUUAUAUAAGCUAUAGAUUGUUUUAUAAUCUUCCCGGAGAGAUUAUGAAAUUAAAUUGUUUCCAUAAACUCGUCGAAGCUAGGUCUCCAAACCAUAUGUUGCUUUUCAUCCUCAACCAACCAGCACAAUUUAUGAUUUUUCAACUUAUUUGAGUUUAGUUCUUUUGCUCAUUUCUGAUUUCAAUGAUUGUUAAAGUGUUCAUUUGUGUAUAUUUUUAAUGCAUUUUGCAGUAUAAUUGGAGCCACAAUAAUAUCAAUUGGUCUUUAUGCUGUAUUAUGGGGCAAAGCUACAGAAGAGAUAGAGGAAGAUGUUGGUAGUUUGGAGUCACCAUCUAAUGAGAAUGCACCUCUUUUGCAAAGCUCUAGAACUCAAACUUUUGAAAAUAAAACAAAUGGAAAUGUUUAAAAUAUCAUUAUCAAAUUGAGAUUCAAAUACAAUCCGAACUUCAUAUAUAUUUAAUUAUAAUUUGUAAAAACACAUUUAAUUAUAAAUUGAUAUUUUUUAUAAAUAAAAAAAAAAUAUCAAACUAGUCCACCGAAAUUGAUACCAGGAAAAUUGAAUAUGACAACUUGAGACGAAUACACUCUAAAAUUUUAAGUCAACACUAACAGAUCAACCCAAAUGAGUUUAUAAAUUGAAUUUUGUAAUGAAUCGUUAGAUAUAUCUACAAUAAAAAUAUGACAUUUCAAUUUGUUUGCCAGUUUCAUGAAGUCAAGAAAAAAACUAAUUCUCUAUUAAUUUAGUUUUUUGAAGAAACUAAAUCACCUAAAUUAGUACUAGAGAGAAUUGAACCUGAGACCUCGAAAAUAAGCACACUCCGAAGUCCCAAGUCAAUAUCACAAGACCAAGUGGGUUUAGCUAAUUAGUUUUAUGUUACCCUUCUAUUUUCAAAUUUGUUUAUUUCUUUGACCUUGUCUUUUUAUUUUCUUAUCACUAAAUCAAACUCUUUAAUUUUCCUUUUAUGUUACCCUUCUAUUGGGCAAAGAAAUAAACUAAUUUGAAAAACAAUUUUUUUUGGCUGUAUUACAAAGGAACAAAGUAAAAGAAAAUAGAAAAAAUCUAAACAAUACAUAGUUAGUUUGUCUCUUAAAAAGAGAGACUCUAAACUAUCUCGAGGACGAUCCCAAUGAGAUGAAUGAGCGGAAUGGACACCUUUCCUAACUAUAAAGUCAGCACAUAUAUAAUGUUUUCUUGUAAUGUGAACUAAAUUGAUAGUCCCAUGGUAUAAAACACCGUAGAUUUCUAGCAACAACACAUGCAAACUUGUAUUUGUCAUAUUGAGAAUAAGAUCUAUCGCCUCCAAAUAAUCAUUUUUAGAAAUGAAAUUUGUAUAACCGAGAUUAUAACAUGAUGCAAUUUCAAUUUGUUUUUUUCAAAGUAUUUUUAAUCAAUAAACUAAUAUAAUGUGUAUGAUAAUGGUUCAAUAGCGCCAGUUUUUUUUUUUUUUUUUUUUAUAUAUAGGAAAUAUAAAUUAUCUUAGUGGCUAAACUGUCAUUUUCACGUAUUGUAAAAAAAGAAAAUUGUCAUUUUCACGAUUGUUUGUAUUUUAUUGCGACAUCGACCCAUUAUGGUCCCCCAAUUUUCCACGUCAAAUGUACUAUAACACAUAGUAAUAUUUAAUGCAAAGUUAAAGAUAUUUUGUCACACCAUUAUGAGAAAUUAUUAUAUGACAUGACUAAAAUCAUAACUUUUUUUUUUUAAAGAAACAAUCAUAAUAUUAUAAACAUACGUUUUUGACAAAAAAAAAAAAAAAACAUUUUACAAGAGACUAAUUUAUUAUUAUUAUUAUAAAAAAUGGCUUAUAGCUUUAUCUUUCAUUUUGGUUUUUAUUUGAAAAGAUGGUCAAAAUCAAAACCUCAUCAUAAAAAACAUCUCAGAACUUCAACAAAGUUUUGUGAUUGUUGUGUAACUGAAAGAACAUAGAAGUGACAGAAACAUGACAAGAAGAUGGUCCUUGUACAUGGAUGUUCUGCCACCUGCUGUGAUUAUAUGCUAUGAAUGUAUUGACAUGGCUUUACUCACUUUGUUCAAAGCAGCUACACUUCAAGGGAUGAACAAUCAUGUCUUUAUUGCUUAUGCUUAUGCUGUUGGUACUUCUGUUCUUCUCCCUGUCACUCUUUUCACUAGAAG